GACGAACGCUGGCGGCGUGCUUAACACAUGCAAGUCGAACGGAAAGGCCCUGCUUUUGUGGGGUGCUCGAGUGGCGAACGAGUGAGUAACACGUGAGUAACCUGCCCUUGACUUUGGGAUAACUUCAGGAAACUGGGGCUAAUACCGGAUAGGAGCUCCUGCUGCAUGGUGGGGGUUGGAAAGUUUCGGCGGUUGGGGAUGGACUCGCGGCUUAUCAGCUUGUUGGUGGGGUAGUGGCUUACCAAGGCUUUGACGGGUAGCCGGCCUGAGAGGGUGACCGGCCACAUUGGGACUGAGAUACGGCCCAGACUCCUACGGGAGGCAGCAGUGGGGAAUAUUGCACAAUGGGCGGAAGCCUGAUGCAGCAACGCCGCGUGCGGGAUGACGGCCUUCGGGUUGUAAACCGCUUUCGCCUGUGACGAAGCGUGAGUGACGGUAAUGGGUAAAGAAGCACCGGCUAACUACGUGCCAGCAGCCGCGGUGAUACGUAGGGUGCGAGCGUUGUCCGGAUUUAUUGGGCGUAAAGGGCUCGUAGGUGGUUGAUCGCGUCGGAAGUGUAAUCUUGGGGCUUAACCCUGAGCGUGCUUUCGAUACGGGUUGACUUGAGGAAGGUAGGGGAGAAUGGAAUUCCUGGUGGAGCGGUGGAAUGCGCAGAUAUCAGGAGGAACACCAGUGGCGAAGGCGGUUCUCUGGGCCUUUCCUGACGCUGAGGAGCGAAAGCGUGGGGAGCGAACAGGCUUAGAUACCCUGGUAGUCCACGCUGUAAACGGUGGGUACUAGGUGUGGGGUCCAUUCCACGGGUUCCGUGCCGUAGCUAACGCUUUAAGUACCCCGCCUGGGGAGUACGGCCGCAAGGCUAAAACUCAAAGGAAUUGACGGGGCCCCGCACAAGCGGCGGAGCAUGCGGAUUAAUUCGAUGCAACGCGUAGAACCUUACCUGGGUUUGACAUGGAUCGGGAGCACUCAGAGAUGGGUGUGCCUCUUUUGGGGUCGGUUCACAGGUGGUGCAUGGCUGUCGUCAGCUCGUGUCGUGAGAUGUUGGGUUAAGUCCCGCAACGAGCGCAACCCUUGUUCACUGUUGCCAGCACGUUAUGGUGGGGACUCAGUGGAGACCGCCGGGGUCAACUCGGAGGAAGGUGGGGAUGACGCCAAGUCAUCAUGCCCCUUAUGUCCAGGGCUUCGCGCAUGCUACAAUGGCUGGUACAGAGAGUGGCGAGCCUGUGAGGGUGAGCGAAUCUCGGAAAGCCGGUCUCAGUUCGGAUUGGGGUCUGCAACUCGACCUCAUGAAGUCGGAGUCGCUAGUAAUCGCAGAUCAGCAACGCUGCGGUGAAUACGUUCCCGGGGCU
rnacentral:rRNA from 1 species